CUGGCGGCGUGCCUAACACAUGCAAGUCGAACGGAGAUAUGAUUUCGGUUAUAUCUUAGUGGCGAACGGGUGAGUAACGCGUGAGCAACCUGACCUUCAGAGGGGGAUAACACUUGGAAACAGGUGCUAAUACCGCAUAAGACCACGACCCGACAUCGGGAUGCGGUCAAAGGAGCAAUCCGCUGAGGGAGGGGCUCGCGUCCCAUUAGAUAGAUGGCGGGGUAACGGCCCACCAUGUCGACGAUGGGUAGCCGAGCUGAGAGGCUGAUCGGCCACACUGGAACUGAGACACGGUCCAGACUCCUACGGGAGGCAGCAGUGGGGAAUAUUGGGCAAUGGGCGCAAGCCUGACCCAGCAACGCCGCGUGAGGGAAGAAGGCCUUCGGGUUGUAAACCUCUGUCCUUGGUGACGAAACAAAUGACGGUAGCCAAGGAGGAAGCCCCGGCUAACUACGUG
rnacentral:rRNA from 1 species